AUUGAACGCUGGCGGAAUGCUUUACACAUGCAAGUCGAACGGCAGCACGGACUUCGGUCUGGUGGCGAGUGGCGAACGGGUGAGUAAUGUAUCGGAACGUGCCCAGUCGUGGGGGAUAACGUAGUGAAAAUUACGCUAAUACCGCAUACGAUCUAUGGAUGAAAGCGGGGGAUCGCAAGACCUCGCGCGAUUGGAGCGGCCGAUAUCAGAUUAGGUAGUUGGUGGGGUAAAGGCCCACCAAGCCAACGAUCUGUAGCUGGUCUGAGAGGACGACCAGCCACACUGGAACUGAGACACGGUCCAGACUCCUACGGGAGGCAGCAGUGGGGAAUUUUGGACAAUGGGCGAAAGCCUGAUCCAGCCAUUCCGCGUGCAGGAUAAAGGCCCUCGGGUUGUAAACUGCUUUUGUACAGAACGAAAAGGUUUCUACUAAUACUAGGAGCUCAUGACGGUACUGUAAGAAUAAGCACCGGCUAACUACGUGCCAGCAGCCGCCGUAA
rnacentral:rRNA from 1 species